AGAGUUUGAUCCUGGCUCAGAACGAACGCUGGCGGCGUGCUUAACACAUGCAAGUCGAGUGCGCGCCUGUAGCAAUACAGGUGGCGCACGGCGCACGGGUGCGUAACACGUGGGUAAUCUGCCCUCUGAUGGGGAAUAACUCGCCGAAAGGCGAGCUAAUUCCGCAUAAUAUUCCGAAAAGUUCGCUUUUUGGACUGAAAGGCGUAAGUCGUCGGAGGAGGAGCCCGCGCACGAUUAGCUAGUUGGUAGGGUAAUGGCCUACCAAGGCUUUGAUCGUUAGCUGGUCUGAGAGGAUGGCCAGCCACACUGGAACUGAGACACGGUCCAGACUCCUACGGGAGGCAGCAGUGGGGAAUCUUGCACAAUGGGCGAAAGCCUGAUGCAGCGACGCCGCGUGGGGGAUGAAGCUUCUCGGAGUGUAAACCCCUUUCGAUCCGGACGAAUGCCUCGCAAGAGGAGUGACGGUACGGAUAUAAGAAGCCCCGGCUAACUACGUGCCAGCAGCCGCGGUAAUACGUAGGGGGCCAGCGUUGUUCGGAAUUACUGGGUGUAAAGGGUUCGUAGGCGGUGUGGCAAGUUGGGAGUGAAAUCUCUGGGCUCAACCCAGAGACGGCUUCCAAAACUGCCGUGCUUGAGUGUGGGAGAGGCUCGUGGAAUUGCAGGUGUAGCGGUGAAAUGCGUAGAUAUCUGCAGGAACACCCGUGGCGAAAGCGGCGAGCUGGACCACUACUGACGCUGAAGAACGAAAGCUAGGGGAGCAAACAGGAUUAGAUACCCCAGUAGUCC
rnacentral:rRNA from 1 species